GAAUUCACUAGUGAUUGCCAGCAGCCGCGGUAAUACGUAGGGUGCGAGCGUUAAUCGGAAUUACUGGGCGUAAAGCGUGCGCAGGCGGAUUGUUAAGCAAGAUGUGAAAUCCCCGGGCUUAACCUGGGAAUGGCAUUUUGAACUGGCAGUCUAGAGUGUGUCAGAGGGGGGUGGAAUUCCACGUGUAGCAGUGAAAUGCGUAGAUAUGUGGAGGAACACCAAUGGCGAAGGCAGCCCCCUGGGAUAACACUGACGCUCAUGUACGAAAGUGUGGGUAGCAAACAGGAUUAGAUACCCUGGUAGUCCACGCCCUAAACGAUGUCAACUGGUUGUUGGGGGAGUGAAAUCCCUUAGUAACGAAGCUAACGCGUGAAGUUGACCGCCUGGGGAGUACGGUCGCAAGAUUAAAACUCAAAGGAAUUGACGGGGACCCGCACAAGCGGUGGAUGAUGUGGAUUAAUUCGAUGCAACGCGAAAAACCUUACCUACCCUUGACAUGUCCAGAAUCCUGCAGAGAUGCGGGAGUGCCCGAAAGGGAAUUGGAACACAGGUGCUGCAUGGCUGUCGUCAGCUCGUGUCGUGAGAUGUUGGGUUAAGUCCCGCAACGAGCGCAACCCUUAUCAUUAGUUGCUACGCAAGGGCACUCUAAUGAGACUGCCGGUGACAAACCGGAGGAAGGUGGGGAUGACGUCAAGUCCUCAUGGCCCUUAUGGGUAGGGCUUCACACGUCAUACAAUGGUCGGUACAGAGGGUUGCCAAGCCGCGAGGUGGAGCCAAUCCCAGAAAGCCGAUCGUAGUCCGGAUUGUUCUCUGCAACUCGAGAGCAUGAAGUCGGAAUCGCUAGUAAUCGCGGAUCAGCAUGUCGCGGUGAAUACGUUCCCGGGUCUUGUACACACCGCCCGUCACACCAUGGGAGUGGAAUCUGCCAGA
rnacentral:rRNA from 1 species